rnacentral:lncRNA from 1 species
AGCAAAUCCUCCGCAGAGCAGGGCGGCGCCGGGUGAGGCUCCGGGAAUCUGCGUGGGCUCCGAGCCAGGGCGCCCUGCCCUUGUUCAAGGGUUGCUGUUGCUCUCAAAGCCUGUUGCAGCAGAGUUAAUUUCCUGACCCGAAGACACCUCUUUUGCAUAGUUCCUGGAGUCUGCAGUGCUACCCUGGCCCCCUCCAAAUGCCAGCUGCUGCCCAGCAUUCAUUUGUGAACCUGUUCGCAUCCUUCAAACCAGCUGCAAGUGUCUUGCCCAUCUCUGAAUCACUUGUGACUGACUCGGCAACUGACUAUGGCUGGAAGGAUGGGCUAGCGCUUCUAGGACCAAGUUGAAGAAGGCGUAGCCACUUCCUUCCUGUCUGCUUGUGGGAAGCUAGCUGCCCAGUCAUGAGGAGGCAGAAGGUCUAGGAAGAAGCUCACCCAGAGGAGGAAAUAAAGUCUCCUGCCGACAGCCAGCUGCAACUUGUUCUGCAUGUGAGCAAGCCGUCAUAGCAGAGAUUCUUCUAGAACAAACCAAGGGUGAGGAUAGCUAUGCCCACAGCCAAUAUCUUGACCCAAGAGAGAUCCUUUGCCAGAAAGCUCAGCUAAGAUACCCCUGGAGUUCUGAGCCACAGGAAAAAUGAGAUAAUUUUUUUUUUUGUUUUUUGUCUUCUAUUCCCCGCACCCCUUGCUCGCUCCAGGCCCCUGUCUUUUGUUUUAAUCUUUAGAUUUAGUUAUUUACUUGUGAAUGCAUGAGUGAUAGCCUGCAUUUACGUAUGUGCACCACAUUUGACGCUCAUAGAGGCAGAAAAGGGUCGUAAGCCACCGUGUGUGUGUGUGUGUGUGUGUGUGUGUGUGUGUGUGUGUGUGUGUGCUGGGAACCGAACCCUGGUCCUCUUCAAGACUGAUGGGUGUGCUUAACUGCUGAGCCAAUCUCUCUAAUUGGAAAGAUGAUAUGUUAUUGCUAUAAUAAGUCACUAACUUUUGGAAGUAACUUGUCACACAGCAAUGGACAACUGAAUAGAGACACGGAGGUGUUGCCCACUGUUUUGUGAACAACUAGGUAAUGUUUUCUAAGAGAUGCAAAGCCAAGGCUAGUGCGAAUUCUGUGCAUGUCUGGGUUGCCGAGAGAGGUUAGAGGCAGAGUCAUGGCUUAAGGGUUUCCUGAAAUACUGAAGACAGAGGGCAUGGAAAGUCUGUUUAGAGAGAAUGGAAGGAGAUACUUCAGGAUAAAGUCAAGGGCCGAGGCAAUCUGAAGGGACAGUGAAAGGUGCCUGUUAGAGUUCAAGUCCUAGAAAAGUAGCUUUAGCUGAACUUUGUUGCCAGGUAUGGAGAGUUAGGAUGUUACAAGUCUGAAGCUAAGAUGACCUUGGGCUAAAAAGUCAAUCUAUUACCUUCUGUGUAUCUGACUACAUUUUAAAAAGAGAUUAUUAAUUUUAUGUGUAUGAGUACACUGUAGCUGUCUUCAGACACACCAGAAGAGGGAAUUGGAUCCCAUUCAGGUGGUUGUGAGCCACCAUGUGAUUGCUGGGAAUUGAACUCAGGACCUUCAGAAGAGCAGGCAGUGCUCUCAACCACUGAGCCAUCUCUCUAGUCCAAUAAACUGCUUUUAAGACAUUAUUCUCCUUCUCCCUCCCCCUCCCAUUCCCCCCUCCCCCUCCCUCCCUCCCCUCCCCUCUCUGUGUAUGCUCUCAGAGGUCAAAAGAGUUACCUCUCAUAGAGCUGGAAUUAUACACAAAGCUGUACUUGAGUAAGCUGCCUAAUGCAGGUGCUGGGAAUUGAACUCUGGUCCUCUGGAAGAACAGCACUCACCCUUAGCUUCUGAGCCAUCUUAUUCAACCCACAGUAAACUUCUCACCUGAAGGGAUAAUCUGCCCAUUUAUCCCCCUUGCGUCUUGUACUCGGGACCUUUCAGUUUUCCAUUACUAAAGGGACUACCUGAGGCCCAAAUCACUUGUUUAUUUUGGUUGAUUGCUCUGGAACCUGAGAAGUCCAAGACUGGGCAGCCAUGUCUGGUUGGUGAAGGCUGUGCGUUGCUUUCUCCUUCUCAGAACUUGAUGGUCCAGGAACUAGUUCGGCACCACGGGAGUGAGAACUCACUCGCUUUCCUGAGAACUGCCCAAAACACACAAGAAAGACAUUAAGCCAUCCACUGAAACCUCCACAUGUUCCCACGGAUUGAUUUAGAGGGAUACUCAACCCACAACUAUGGGGUAUCAAGAUCUCAUGAACCCAAAGAGGACACUUAGACCAGGAAGCAGAGGGUGAGAGGCCAGAAAGAGAGGGGUCCCCUGUCACCCAGAGUGAGAAGCCCCCCUCCCGUUCUCAGAGCUCACGUAGGGUGGGGCACUGUGUUUGUUUACACUGGGCAGCUGGGAGAUCUUCCCCUGAAGGACAGGCUCCACACAGCACAGUAUCCUCACUGCCAAGUGCUCUUCGGGUGUCCGUCUCUGCCAUCAGUAUUUUUAGCAUAUGGCCUUUGGAGCCCGAAGAACAACGUCCACCUCCCAGAACUGGUCCUCCAGCUGACAGAUAGGACUGCAUGAAAGAGGGCACUUCAGGGGCCAACCGAGUCGGUGCAAAUCAGAUGCUAACGGCAACCCCUCCGCCCAGAAAUCCCAAGUGGAAGGACGCCUCUCGUGAAAUUGCCUUCCGUGACAGUUACAGACAGCCUGAAGGGAAUACCUGUCCAGGUGAUACGGGACAAGAAAAACACCACGAUGUAAGCAUCGUUUCUACAGAUCUCACAACAGGCCCCAAGCCAACCCCGUUGGGAUUCGUAUCAUGCUUUGUUGCACCAGAUGAAGUCUGAUCUGGGACCGUGCCAGAAAACACGGAAGGAAGACGAGAAAGGGUGAAGAGCUUCUAAAUUAGAUUCUGCUGGGGCCAGGAAAGCAGACACGACUGCCGUGGAGAAGGUCAAUGCAAGCAUUUUAAAAUCGUGUCUUCCUUUUCAUGAUAAUCAAACAUUAAAAUGAGUGCAUUCUCUGCUCUCUGGAAAAUACUGUCUAACAGGAAUACUAUCUUGC